rnacentral:rRNA from 1 species
AAUGAACGCUGGCGGCAUGCCUUACACAUGCAAGUCGAACGGCAGCAUGACCUCGCUUGCUCGGUUGAUGGCGAGUGGCGAACGGGUGAGUAAUGCAUCGGAACGUGCCUUUUAGUGGGGGAUAACGUAGCGAAAGUUACGCUAAUACCGCAUAUUCUCUGAGGAGGAAAGCAGGGGACCUUCGGGCCUUGCGCUAGAAGAGCGGCCGAUGUCGGAUUAGCUAGUUGGUGAGGUAAAGGCUCACCAAGGCAACGAUCCGUAGCGGGUCUGAGAGGAUGAUCCGCCACACUGGGACUGAGACAAGGCCCAGACUCCUACGGGAGGCAGCAGUGGGGAAUUUUGGACAAUGGGCGCAAGCCUGAUCCAGCCAUGCCGCGUGAGUGAAGAAGGCCUUCGGGUUGUAAAGCUCUUUCGGCUGGGAAGAAAUCGCACCCUCUAAUACAGGGUGUGGAUGACGGUACCAGCAUAAGAAGCACCGGCUAACUACGUG